ANAGUUUGAUGCUGGCUCAGAACGAACGUUGGCGGCGUGGAUGAGGCAUGCAAGUCGAGCGAGAAAGCUCCUUCGGGAGUGAGUACAGCGGCGGACGGGUGAGUAACACGUAAUCAAGCUACCCUCGAGAUCGGGACAACAGCGGGAAACUGCUGCUAAUACCGAAUGGUCUUGCGAGAUCGCAUGAUGUUGCAAGUAAAGGAUGGGCUCCUUCGGGACCAUCUGCUCGGGGAGGUGAUUGCGGCCUAUCAGCUUGUUGGUGAGGUAACGGCUCACCAAGGCGGCGACGGGUAGCAGGCCUGAGAGGGUGGUCUGUCACACUGGGACUGAGACACUGCCCAGACUCCUACGGGAGGCUGCAGUCGAGAAUCUUCCGCAAUGGACGCAAGUCUGACGGAGCGACGCCGCGUGGAGGACGAAGGCAUUAGUGUUGUAAACUCCUGUCACGGAUUAUGAAACUCUCGUGGUUAAUAGCUGCGAGGCUGACGUAAGUCCGAGAGGAAGCGCCGGCUAACUCUGUGCCAGCAGCCGCGGUAAUACAGAGGGUGCAAACGUUGUUCGGAAUUACUGGGCAUAAAGCGCACGUAGGCGGUUUCGUAAGUGUGGAGUGAAAUCCCACGGCUCACCCGUGGAACUGCUUCGCAUACUGCGAAACUCGAGGACGGUAGGGGAGAGCGGAACUCUUGGAGGAGCGGUGAAAUGCGUAGAUAUCAAGAGGAACACCAAUGGCGAAGGCAGCUCUCUGGUCCGUUUCUGACGCUGAGGUGCGAAAGCUAGGGUAGCGAACGGGAUUAAAUACCCCGGUAGUCCUAGCCGUAA
rnacentral:rRNA from 1 species